AGAGUUUGAUCAUGGCUCAGGACGAACGCUGGCGGCGCGCUUAACACAUGCAAGUCGAGCGCCCCGCAAGGGGAGCGGCAGACGGGUGAGUAACACGUGGGAAUCUACCCAUCCCUGCGGAACAACUCCGGGAAACUGGAGCUAAUACCGCAUACGCCCUACGGGGGAAAGAUUUAUCGGGGAUGGAUGAGCCCGCGUUGGAUUAGCUAGUUGGUGGGGUAAAGGCCUACCAAGGCGACGAUCCAUAGCUGGUCUGAGAGGAUGAUCAGCCACAUUGGGACUGAGACACGGCCCAAACUCCUACGGGAGGCAGCAGUGGGGAAUAUUGGACAAUGGGCGCAAGCCUGAUCCAGCCAUGCCGCGUGAGUGAUGAAGGCCUUAGGGUUGUAAAGCUCUUUCACCGAUGAAGAUAAUGACGGUAGUCGGAGAAGAAGCCCCGGCUAACCUCGUGCCAGCCGCCGCGGUAAUAC
rnacentral:rRNA from 1 species